rnacentral:rRNA from 1 species
UACGUAGGGUGCGAGCGUUAAUCGGAAUUACUGGGCGUAAAGCGUGCGCAGGCGGUUUUGUAAGUCUGACGUGAAAUCCCCCGGGCUUAACCUGGGAAUUGCGUUGGAGACUGCAAGGCUGGAGUCUGGCAGAGGGGGGGGUAGAAUUCCACGUGUAGCAGUGAAAUGCGUAGAGAUGUGGAGGAACACCGAUGGCGAAGGCAGCCCCCUGGGUCAAGACUGACGCUCAUGCACGAAAGCGUGGGAGCAAACAGG